CUUAUUUCACUCCCUAACUA
rnacentral:tRNA from 5 species